CUGAAACACUGGGCCAGUUAUAACCUGCUUCCCCUAUCAGCACGCCACUUUUAUGCAAUCAUCAUAUGCAAAACUAAACAUUUAUCAGCACUCUGCAGAAUCCCAACGCAACUCCCGGAGGUGUCAGCACACUCGCUUCCCACCGGAGCUGCGCUCUUCCGAAACAGCCAGGCUGAGAGCGCGGAGGUGCACACGGGCGCUGAAAGGCGGCGGGGGUCAUUCCGUCCUCGGCCCCCGGGUUUGUUUUUCAACAACACACGGCAAAAAAAACCACACGCUUCCAGCUAUCUCGCCUGCCCCUGCACCUGAGCAGAAAGAUCCAUCCGCGAGGGAGGAAGGAGGCGCCUAAGGCGCCGGGGGAGAGACGCUGAGUGGGGCGCUCAGAAGACAAGAGGGCGUCCGCGCGGGCCGGGCCCGGCCGGGGUCACCAGUCGCAGCUCCCGGCUGGGGCUGCGCAGGAAGGCCCGAGGUCCGGGCCGCACUCACCGAAGUCCAGGAACUGCUUCAUGGAGAGCGGGGACGGCGAGAAGCGCGCGUAGAAGUCCACUUGGCCCGGAACGCCGCGUUCGGGCGCCGGGCCGGAGCCUGAGUCCGAGCCUCCAGUGUGCCCGCAAUGGCUAGGUGAAAUCAACAAAAUCAUGGCAACUUAAAAGUGCAUUCAUACACAAGGCAGCUAUAAGUACGGUGAAGAACUGGAGGCCCACAGAGCUAGGUGGCUGGCCCAGGGUCCUACAGUGAGGGAUGGAGGCAACUCCUAAAGUCUCUGUCACAAACACAAAAGACGACUGCCUUACAAAGCCUCUUAGACAUGCAGGUUCCCACUUCCCCUAGGCCUCUGCACAAGUCACUCUCCCCUUCUGCCGGCUGGACCACCCCCCACUUUCUGACUCCCCGUCACUGGCUGACUAACCUUCAGAUCUCAGCGUGGACAUCACUUCCUCUAGGAAGCCUCUCCUCGCCCCUCCUGGGGGUCCAACCGUAUUCCUCUCAUAACCACACUUAGCCUGCUGGGCUGUGGGCCUGACCAUCUUCCCAGGCAAAGCCGUGCCAGGGACCUCCUUGGUCGGUUCACCACUGUACUCCCCAGCAACAGCACAACACCUGACAUAAAUAUAACUGGCAGAACAGAUGAACAGAAGCAUACACGCCAACAUACACCCAAUGCACAUUUGCGCACACACAAUGUGACAUUAUCCUUACGCUGACACAAUAGCUGCUCCAAUAUGGAAGACCAAAAUUUAGAAAUGACAGUUUCAAUAGUAAUUUCUGUGUCCAUCUAAAGAAUUCUUAAAUGUCACGGCUGCCAAAUGGAAUGUGCCUCCAUUUUAGGCCCUCUGUGAACCCUGACAUCAUCCAUUUAUCAGUGACCUGCUAACUUCACAAUGAACCAGACGAAGGCUCACAUGCUGAGUGCCCCUCACAGCAGAAGCAGGGGAGGGUGUGGGUGCAUUAAAACCGUUUAUCUACCAAACCCACUCUAACCUUUUCUGACCCUCCACACAGUUCACAUCAUCUUAAAAUCCUUGCCGGCCACUUUUGCUGACCUUCUGAGGCGCAAGCCAAGUAGAAUAGUCAUUAAGGCUCAAUUAUAAAUAUCUGUACGUAUGGAACACCACAUCUGAGGACUGCUGAGUUAAAACAGUCUAGUCAGACAAUAAGCUCACACUCUGACACUGGGAACAGAUUUUAGAUGUAUUAACUUCUGCAGCUUUGUGCAAGUUCUGCUUUAUUUGAUUCAGAAUUUCCCAAUACCGUGGAAGCAAAGGCAAUGAAAACAGGUUUUCUCUCAAUGUCUUCAGAAAAAAAAGUUCUAUCUAUAGUAGGCCAUCCAUAAACACUUGCUUAAUGGAGUAGUUAUAUAAUAUAAAAUUAAUUUACAUGGCAUCAAGCACAGCAUUAAAGCUAGAAGAGGGCUUCCCUGGUGGCGCAGUGGUUGAGAAUCUGCCUGCCAAUGCAGGUCACACGGGUUCGAGCCCUGGUCUGGGAGGAUCCCACAUGCCGUGGAGCAACUAAGCCCGUGAGCCACAACUACUGAGCCUGCGCGUCUGAAGCCUGUGCUCCGCAACAAGAGAGGCCGCGAUAGUGAGAGGCCCGCGCACUGCGAUGAAGAGUGGCCCCUGCUCGCCGCAACUAGAGAAAGCCCUCGUACAGAAACAAAGACCCAACACA